AUUGAACGCUGGCGGCAUGCCUUACACAUGCAAGUCGAACGGCAGCACGGGUGCUUGCACCUGGUGGCGAGUGGCGAACGGGUGAGUAAUACAUCGGAACGUACCUUAUCAUGGGGGAUAACGCAGCGAAAGCUGUGCUAAUACCGCAUACGCCCUGAGGGGGAAAGCGGGGGAUCGCAAGACCUCGCGCGAUUAGAGCGGCCGAUGCCCGAUUAGCUAGUUGGUGGGGUAAAAGCCCACCAAGGCGACGAUCAGUAGCUGGUCUGAGAGGACGAUCAGCCACACUGGGACUGAGACACGGCCCAGACUCCUACUGGAGGCAGCAGUGGGGAAUUUUGGACAAUGGGGGCAACCCUGAUCCAGCAAGGCGGCGUGAGUGAAGAAGGCCUUCGGGUUGUAAAGCUCUUUUGUCAGGGAAGAAACACCGGCUCUAACACAGUCCGGGAAUGACGGUACCUGAAGAAUAAGCACCGGCUAACUACGUGCCAGCCGCCGCCGUAA
rnacentral:rRNA from 1 species